rnacentral:snRNA from 1 species
GUAUGAGGGUGAUCUGGCUGCCACAUCUGACACCCCAUUGAUCACCAGGGUUGAUUCAGCUGAUCUGGCUGGCUAGGAUGGUGUCCCCUUCCUUCCUCAACACUCCACGUGCAUCCCUCCCAAAGCUGUGUACUCAGUCAAAGAGACAACUUUCCCUGAUAAAGGAGGACCAAGGGUAUAUAAGUAGCUUCAUGCUCCUCUGCUAGAACCUCCAAACAAGCUCUCAGUAUUUCCCUAAGUAGCCAAUAAGCCAAAAUUCAGUGGACAUUUUGAUAGCUAGGUUGAGUUACUUG